rnacentral:rRNA from 1 species
UGCGUAGGGUGCAAGCGUUAAUCGGAAUUACUGGGCGUAAAGCGUGCGCAGGCGGUUUUGUAAGCCAGAUGUGAAAUCCCCGGGCUUAACCUGGGAAUUGCAUUUGUGACUGUACGGCUAGAGUGUGUCAGAGGGGGGUAGAAUUCCACGUGUAGCAGUGAAAUGCGUAGAGAUGUGGAGGAAUACCGAUGGCGAAGGCAGCCCCCUGGGAUAACACUGACGCUCAUGCACGAAAGCGUGGGGAGCAAACAGG